rnacentral:sRNA from 1 species
GUCUGCACUUGUCGGGGAAGGGUGAGAACCUUCGAUUAAGGUUCGACUCGAGCGAAAGCGAGAGAACGUUGCCAACGGCAACGGCCCGUAGGGUGAGGA